CACAAUGAUGAAUCGACAUAUAUAAAAGACAAGCAUAUGUCCAAGUCGGCUUCGCUGACCAAGACGAUAAUUGUCAUGACUGAU
rnacentral:snoRNA from 1 species